CAAAAUGUAGCUUACAUAAAGCAUCUGGCCUACACCCAGAAGAAUUCACCCUAAUGAACAUUUUG
rnacentral:tRNA from 1 species